GUUUGGUUUACUUUCAAUCUUUUAAAUUGAAAGUAAAAAGAGUGUUUGAAGGGGAAGGGUUUCAAAUGGGGAUCUCUCUUCAACGGCGAGACUAGUUCGAUGGUACAACAAGACUGGUUCGGUGGUGGCAACGAUCGACGAGACUGGCAGCAGGUGAAUGGUUUACAGCCCGAGUCUCUGCUUGUGGACUAUUUCAUAUUGCUUACCCUAGUUCCUCAGAGAUGUUAAAGACAGAAUUACGGUCUAUAUACAGCUAGUUGUGUCAGGAUGACAUGCCUAUGGUGAGGAGGUCUGCUGCAACAAACUUGGGGAAGUUUGCUGCAACUGUUGAACCUGCUCAUCUCAAGACUGACGUCAUGUCAAUAUUUGAGGGUCUUACACAGGAUGAUGCAAACCUUUUGAGUACGUGAUAUCUUCGCAUAUCGAUAUGGGAGCUUACAAUUGAUAUCAAAACAAGUUACAUUAUAUCUGUUUUUAUUUUUUUAUUUUUUUAUUUCUAUUGUCGAUACUAAAAAUUUGAGUUCUUGAAUUUCAAAAAUUAUUAGUAUUGUUAGAGGUUAUUUUAUAUAUUUUUGUAAAUAAUAUUUGAUUGACAAUUGUUACAAGGUAUAUAUAUUAUUCUUGGUAUAUGAUUUUUUGAAUGUGAAUUUGGAUGUGGAUGUAGAUGUAGAUAUGGAUGUGGAUGUAUUUUUAAAAAUAUUAAUAAUUUGUAUAGGAAAUAUUUAAUAAAAUAUGAUUUUAUAAAAAAUAAUUUUAUUGCGACAAUAAUAAACUGUCGCUAAUGUAAUUCUCAUUUCCUUAUAUUUUAUUAGC